UGCAACUCUCAUCCAUCACCCUGAAUUUUAAGAUUUUAUUUCAUGUUUGUUUCAGAGCCAUCUUUCUUUACCUGGGUCUCCUGAUAAUCUUUUGUAUCCUGAAAGAGAACAUUCUACUCACUCUGUAAUUAUCAGUCUUUCCAUCACCUUCCUUUUUUCUUGUUCCAAACAAAAUUAUUGAGUUUGCUUACCUUUCCCCUGACAAAUCCUGUCAUUUCAAAGUUAAUUGCUUCUACUUCCAUUACACACCUUCCUUGCUUUAUUUUGUCUAUUAACUAUGCUUUCUUGUAAGUAGAUUGUAUCUAUUCCACUUGUUCCCUUUCUCUUCCUAUUAAUGAACUUCCUAGCCCUGGCAUUGGUUGAGAAUUAUUCUUCAAUUAUCUUUAACCAAUCUCCAAAUUAUUUGCUGCUUAGAUGAUUGCUCUUGGCAUCCCCCUUGCUAAUUCACCUUUGUUAGGAAACUCUGGUCUCUGAAAAAUAUCCCUUUCUUACAGAGUAUAGGAGAGAAUUAUUCCUUCAAACAAUGUUUUAACUACUCUUUCUUUUGAGUUGGUUUUAUUUUCUCCUCCCUUUGAAUGUCUAGCAGCAUGUGUCUUUCAGCUAGAAUUACACAAUGUCUAUACCUCUGUCAGGUAAGAGGAGGAAAAAGGCACAUCUCCUGGCACUUUUCCAAAAUGAAUCAAAUAAAAGCCCCCACAAGCUCCAUGCCUCUGGGUAGAGCACAGGCUGGUUUCCUUCAGGAGGAAUAAUUUUGACUGUGUUAUGUUUCACUGGCCUUCCUCACCUUCCAUAUCUGAAUACCUUAUAGGUUGAUUGUUUUUCUCCUUAAAUGUACUCUUAACACUGAUUCUAUCUACUCAUUCUGGAUCUUGUUUUAUGGCUCCUUGCAAACUAUUCAUCUUCCUACCUACCCCCCACUAUCUUGAUUUUUCUACUCAAUUCUUUUUUUUUUUUAGACGGAGUUUCGCUCUUGUUACCCAGGCUGGAGUGAAAUGGCGCGAUCUCGGCUCACUGCAACCUCCACCCCCUGGAUUCAAGCAAUUCUCCCGCCUCAGCCUCCUGAGUUGCUGGGAUUACAGAUUGUUCAUGCCACUAGAAAAACAGACAAAAACUACCCAGAAGACUGCCUGGUGAACUUAACUGCUCUUCAAGGCCUACUGAUGAAGACAAAUGGAAGACCACUGGCACCCAGGCGGGCAGGAUCACUGAGGGUUCAGGCCCAUGAAGAGCUGAGAGAUGAGUCAUUGCAUUCGAUAAAGAGCUUUAAUCCACUGAGGUCCUGGUAAGAGGCAGAGGGAACCUGGAAUCAAUGAGGAAAGGGGAAAGUUAUAAAUAGGAUUCCGAUCAGCUCUAGAAAUGAGAACUGAAGCCUCUAAUUGCACUUUGUUUUCCAUGUUAUGUUAUUGGAAGACAUUUUUGGUGUUUUAGUCUCUUUAUUCCCAUCCUAUUGUAUAUAAUGUUAUCAGUAGCCAAAUGUAACUGUUAUUCCGUAUGUUGAAAAAUAACAAUAUCAUCUCAUAAUAUACCUAGAGGGGAAUGUGAUAUGACCUUUGCUUCUGUGAGCAUCUGCUGAUGUCAAGGAGAUAAAACUAACAUAAUGAAAAAGAACAAAAUAAAAAUGUACAAGGAUGCAGUGUGCAUGCUGGUGAAACAACUGAUUCCAGGAGAGAGUACCAAGGAUCAGAAAACUCUAGAAAGGGGCUAUCAGCAAGUGAAACUACCUGAGCUUGAUGAAGGGAUGACGUUGGAAUGGACAGAAUGAAGCUGAAAAGCUGUCAUUCUGGGGAAAACAGGGAUACUGCAAGAAGCUAUAUGCAGGAAGAGGUGAGGAGAAAGCAUCAGUGAUUAUUCAUAGAAACAAACUUUUUUGUUUUCUGCUUUAUUUCUUUAAAAAAUGGGGAUACAUGUGCAGAACGUGCAGUUUUGUUACAUAGUAUAUGUGUGCCAUGGUGGUUUGCUGCACCUAUUGACCUGUGCUCUAAGUUCCCUCCACUUUCCCUCUAUCCACCAAUAGGCCGUGGUGUGUGCUGUUCCCCUCUCUGUGUCCAUGUAUUGUCAAUGUUAACUCCCUCUUAUGACUGAGAACAUGUGAUGUUUGGUUUUCUGUUCUUGUGUUAGUUUACUGAGGAUGAUGGCUUCCACCUUCAUCCACGUCCCUGCAAAGUACAUGAACUGAUUCCUUUUUACUGCUGCAUAGUAUUCCAUGAUAUAUGUACCACAUUUUCUUUAUCCAGUCUAUCAUUGAUGGGUAUUGGGGUUGAUUCCAAGUCUCUGUGCUUGUAAAUAAUGUUUUAUUAAGCAUACAUGUGCAUGUGUCUUUAUAGUAGAAUGAUUUAUAAUCCUUUGAGUAUAUACCCAGUAAUGGGAUUGCUGGGUCAUGUGGUAUUUCUGGUUCUAGAUCCUUGAGGAAUCGCCAUACUAUCUUCCACAGUGGUUGAACUAAUUUAUAUUCCCACCAAAAGUGUAAAAGCAGAACCAAACUUUUAUUUGACAAUUUUCCAUCUGGUGACAGACCAAACUCUAAGAAAAGACCCAGAAUGCCCUCUAUGCAUUCUUUGUGCAAAAAGUAUGUUUGCAAAGUCAUCGUGUUGUCUGAUACAUGAAAACUUUAAAAACACUUUUAAAAUGCAGUCUUUUCUGCAUUUAAAUAACAC
ensembl:lncRNA